GACGAACGCUGGCGGCGUGCCUAAUACAUGCAAGUAGGACGCAAUUGCGAACGGGUGAGUAACGCGUUGGUAACUGCCUAUUAGCGGGGGAUAACUAUAGGAGACGAUAGCUAAUACCGCAUACUAGUAGAUGGACCUGCGUUGUAUUAGCUAGUAGGUAGGGUAAUGGCCUACCUAGGCAACGAUCCAUAGCCGACUUGAGAAGGUGAUGUGCCACACAGGGACUGAGACACGGCCCAGACUCCUGCGAGAGGAAGCAGUAGGGAAUCUUCGGCAAUGGGGGGAACCCUGACCGAGCAACGCCGCGUGAGUGAAGAAGGUUUUCGGAUCGUAAAGCUCUGUUGUUAAGGAAGCGGUACUUAACCAGAAAGGGACGGCGAACUACGUGCCAGCAGCCGCGGUAAUUC
rnacentral:rRNA from 1 species